rnacentral:sRNA from 1 species
GCUGGGCGCAGUGGCAUGGGCCUGUGCUCCCAGCUACUAUGGGGGCUGAGGCAGAAGGAUCACUUGAGCCCAGGAGUAUGAGGCCAGUCUGGGCAACAUAGACUCUGUCUUAA